rnacentral:lncRNA from 1 species
UUUACAACAGGAGUAUAGCUUACCUGGCUGGCAUGUAAAUGAACCACCGGAGAAGCUUCUCCAUUCGCUAUUUAACCCAGAUGCUGCGCCCGUGCUUCCUGAGGGUGGCACCUCCGUGUGUUCAGCUGGUUCAGCAGCUGUCUGGAUGGUGAGGAGGUAGCACCUACCUGCCCGGCAUCUGUGAGAGGGCCAAACUACUGGUGCUGGUAUGCUUUCAUAAUCAUCAUCAUUGUUUAUUCUCAUACACUGUGUCCAUCUUUGCCUCAUGAUGACAAGGGAAGGAAAUAUACGGAGCCAUAUAUAUCGCUCUGAAAAUGUGUAGAAU